GAUGAACGCUGGCGGCGUGCCUAAUACAUGCAAGUCGAGCGAACGGACGAGAAGCUUGCUUCUCUGAUGUUAGCGGCGGGCGGGUGAGUAACACGUGGAUAACCUACCUAUAAGACUGGGAUAACUUCGGGAAACCGGAGCUAAUACCGGAUAAUAUUUUGAACCGCAUGGUUCAAAAGUGAAAGACGGUCUUGCUGUCACUUAUAGAUGGAUCCGCGCUGCAUUAGCUAGUUGGUAAGGUAACGGCUUACCAAGGCAACGAUGCAUAGCCGACCUGAGCGGGUGAUCGGCCACACGGGAACUGAGACACGGUCCAGACUCCUACGGGAGGCAGCAGUAGGGAAUCUUCCGCAAUGGGCGAAAGCCUGACGGAGCAACGCCGCGGGAGUGAUGAAGGUCUUCGGAUCGUAAAACUCUGUUAUUAGGGAAGAACAUAUGUGUAAGUAACUGUGCACAUCUUGACGGUACCUAAUCAGAAAGCCACGGCUAACUACGUG
rnacentral:rRNA from 1 species